GAUGAACGCUGGCGGCGUGCCUAAUACAUGCAAGUCGAGCGAACAGACGAGGAGCUUGCUCCUCUGACGUUAGCGGCGGACGGGUGAGUAACACGUGGAUAACCUACCUAUAAGACUGGGAUAACUUCGGGAAACCGGAGCUAAUCCCGGAUAAUAUAUUGAACCGCAUGGUUCAAUAGUGAAAGACGGUUUUGCUGUCUCUUAUAGAUGGAUCCGCGCCGCAUUAGCUAGUUGGUAAGGUAACGGCUUACCAAGGCAACGAUGCGUAGCCGACCUGUGAGGGUGAUCGGCCGCCCUGGAACUGGGACACGGACCAGACUCCUACGGGAGGCAGCAGUAGGGAAUCUUCCGCAAUGGGCGAAAGCCUGACGGAGCAACGCCGCGUGAGUGAUGAAGGUCUUCGGAUCGUAAAACUCUGUUAUUAGGGAAGAACAAAUGUGUAAGUAACUAUGCACGUCUUGACGGUACCUAAUCAGAAAGCCACGGCUAACUACGUG
rnacentral:rRNA from 1 species